rnacentral:rRNA from 1 species
GGCUGUAGUCGGUCCCAAGGGUUGGGCUGUUCGCCCAUUAAAGCGGUACGCGAGCUGGGUUCAGAACGUCGUGAGACAGUUCGGUCCCUAUCCGUCGUGGGCGUAGGAAAUUUGAGAGGAGCUGUCCUUAGUACGAGAGGACCGGGAUGGACAUACCUCUGGUGUACCAGUUGUCGUGCCAACGGCAUAGCUGGGUAGCUAUGUAUGGACGGGAUAAGUGCUGAAAGCAUCUAAGCAUGAAGCCCCCCUCAAGAUGAGAUUUCCCAACUUCGGUUAUAAGAUCCCUCGAAGAUGACGAGGUUAAUAGGUUCGAGGUGGAAGCGUGGUGACACGUGGAGCUGACGAAUACUAAUCGAUCGAAGACUUAAUCAAUUU